AUUAAAUUUAGGUUCUUUAAGUCCUAAAUAUUUGGUUGAGAGUGAAGAAAUUAGAUUAUAAAAUUUGUUGAUUUUGAAGUUAUUAAUGAAUAUUUAUUAUAUUUAUGUGAGCAAGAAUUCUAAAGUUAUUGUUGGAAGAAAAUUUAGUAUGAAGUGUUAAAAAGGAGAAAAAUAUUAUUAUGGAGGGGUAGAAAAAAAAAUUUGAGAGAGAAAAGGGUGGAAUUAAUUAUGGAUGUAUUAUGCAGGCUUUGGAAGGGCAUUUUAAAUUAUUUGUGAAUGUGUUGUGACUUGUGAAAAAUUGGUUGAGUUUUUAGAAUUUUUGAAGACGUCCAAUUUAUAUCAAAAUGUCGCCAAAUUUUUUUUAAUUUUUGAUAAAUAAAUCAUGCAUUUCAACCUUACCUUUUUCAUCUUCAGGAUUUAAAAUUCAUUUUCUUAAUAUAUUACUUUUCCCUACACUUUUAGGAGAUGAUGCAGCUCUUAUUGUA
rnacentral:misc_RNA from 1 species